rnacentral:rRNA from 1 species
GUGGAGAAUCUUCCGCAAUGGACGAAAGUCUGACGGAGCAACGCCGCGUGAGUGAUGAAGGUCUUCGGAUUGUAAAGCUCUGUUAAUCGGGACGAAAGAGCCUAGUGUGAAUAAUGCUAGGAAGUGACGGUACCGGAAUAGAAAGCCACGGCUAACUACGUGCCAGCAGCCGCGGUAAUACGUAGGUGGCAAGCGUUGUCCGGAAUUAUUGGGCGUAAAGCGCGCGCAGGCGGAUCUGCCAGUCUGUCUUAAAAGUUCGGGACUUAACCCCGUGAUGGGAUGGAAACUACAGAUCUAGAGUAUCGGAGAGGAAAGUGGAAUUCCUAGUGUAGCGGUGAAAUGCGUAGAUAUUAGGAAGAACACCAGUGGCGAAGGCGACUUGCUGGACGAUGUCUGACGCUGAGGCGCGAAAGCUAGGGGAGCGAACGGGAUUAGAAACCCCAGUAGUCC